UACGAAGGGUCCAAGCGUUGUUCGGAAUUACUGGGCGUAAAGCGUGCGCAGGCGGCUUUGCAAGACAGAUGUGAAAUCCCCGGGCUUAACCUGGGAACUGCAUUUGUGACUGCAUGGCUAGAGUGCGGCAGAGGGGAUGGAAUUCCGCGUGUAGCAGUGAAAUGCGUAGAUAUGCGGAGGAACACCGAUGGCGAAGGCAAUCCCCUGGGCCUGCACUGACGCUCGAUGCACGAAAGCGUGGGAUCAAACAGG
rnacentral:rRNA from 1 species